CUGAUUUGAAGCUGCAUAAAGUUCCUGAACGCAGGCAAACUGACACUGAGAAGGACAAACAAAAGAUUUAAUUUCUGCACCAUGAAGAUGCUGACUGUGUUUCUGCAUGUGUUUCCUGAACGCAGGCAAACUGACACUGAGAAGGACAAACAAAAGAUUUAAUUUCUGCACCAUGAAGAUGCUGACUGUGUUUCUGCAUGUGUGUGUCAUGAUGACUUUCACACACAGUCUGUGUGAGUAUUUAAAACACAGAAGUUCCUCUCUCACUUUUUCUACAUUAUCUAUACAUGCACACUGUAUAUAUAGAAUAUACAUGCAAAACAUAACCAGAGAAUGGAAUAUCUUAAAUUUUGUCUUAAACCCAUGUUUGUAAAAAAAAAAAAAAGUGUCAAGGCUUUGCAAAACUGAAUUAAACAAUCGGAACUUUUUCUUUGUCUAAACAUGAAUGAGAAUCAUUGUACAGUAAUUUCAUAUAAUAUCUAAGCCUAUGUAUAGAUAUACCAUGACUAUACUGUAUAUAAGGACAUGCUGAUCAAUUUGAGUUUGAUUUGUUUGCAUUUUGCCAAUAUCGCUUCACUUCUGUGAGUAACUUGCAUCACAAAUUUUCUACUUCUUUUUAAUCACUUUUGUUACUAAUCACAAACAAUAUUUGUGUGUCAAAUAAAAUGUAUUUUAAACUGUCUUUGCAGCUGUUCCAGAGGAAACAACUGUGCCAGGUGAAUAUAAAGGUUGUCUUUUAGUGGGAAUAUACUCUAUUUUGAUCCACUAGUAAAUAAUUAAAGCGAUUAAUCUACAAUACUAACUGCAACCAAAAACAUCAACUAAUGCAGAUGGAGACUGUUUGGGAGUACUGCCAUAACCUUCACUUGGAGUACAUUACUUCUUUUCUCCUCCAAAAGUCAGGCAUACAGAAAGUCUACACAGCAGACUCAUUUUCAUGUGUUCUUCUUUAUCUACGAUUUGUUUUUAAAAAUAUUGUACAAUAAUGUAAUAUAAUACACAUUAUAAGCUUGUGUAAUCAUACAUUUAUUAUACUGUACAUAAGGACAUGCUAAGUGACAUAAUUCUUAGUUUACAUUUUGCUAAUAUCUCUUCACUUCUGUAAUUUACCUGCAUUUUGUAUUUCUUUUUAAUGUUGUAAAACGUAGAAGGUAAUCAAUGACACCACAGCAAUGAUACACUGAAAAAAAUAUCUGUGGUUCAAACUGUCUUUGCAGCUCUUCCAGAGGAAACAACUGUGCCAGGUGAAUCUAAAAGUUGUCUUUUAAUGAGAAUAAUUUUUUAUCCACUAGUAAAUAUUGAAAGUUUUUACCCCAUGAAGUUAAUUGCAACAAAAGAACAUUUUAACUCAUGCAGAUGGAGACAACUGGGGAACACCACCAUCUCCACCAUCUACAGAAGAUGACUCAUUUGGGGGCUGGCAUCCAUCUUGCCCAGAUGGAUGGAGUAUGCACAGUCAACAGUGCCUCAUCUUUGUUCCAGAAAACAUGACCUGGGACGAUGCUCAGAAUAACUGUCACUCUCAUGGAGGACAGCUUGCAUCUGUGUAUGAUGACUUUCAAGCUUAUGAGAUUCAAGCGGAGCUGAAGCGUGCUGGACAUGAUCAUGGAGAAUUUUGGGUUGGAGGCCAUAAUAGUCCAGGGAAUCCUUCUUGGUCCUGGAGUGAUUAUUUGGGAAUGUCUGCUUUUGCUGACUUUUGUAAUGGAGACACAGCCGAAGAUGAGCACCACUGUUUGCAAAUAACUUUUACUGAGGAAAAGAGUGGAUGCUUAGAGAGCAUGGACUGUGAAACUGAGCUCCCGUCUAUCUGUGGAAACAUUAUUAUGUAAUUGUGAAUCAACUCUAUAAUGCAUCAGUAAAAAGCACAAAGAUCUGUGUUUUUCUUUCUCAGUGCUGUUUCUUUCUCUGUAUUUCCACACCAUCGCUAUGAUGCAAGCAAUCAGGCAUCAUGUGCAAUGAACUGGAGCUGAAUUUUCUGUACGAUUAAAAGAAAGCUUUCUGUAGACCUUUACUUUGUAGAGUGAACUGUAUCUCAUUCUUAAAUUAAAACUGUUAGCAAAAAAAACAAAAAAAAACAAAAAACAAAACAAAAAAAACAACUGUUAGCAUUGAAAUUUGUCUGUGAGUUAUUCACCACUAACAUUAGCAAAUUGAAUACAAAAUGGGGUUUUUUAAAGUUUAUGUCCAAAUGCCCCAAAGGAGCUGUGCCUUCCAUGGAUGAGAUGUUUAUUCAUGGUGACAUAGAAACUGUCAAUCAUGUUCUUCUGACAGCCAGCAGGGUGGAGGCAUGGCUACCGACCCUGCUGGUUACAGAGAUGUUCCUCCAAACUGCAGCAUGUCUGGGUUAAGAUAAGGAAAGUCAAUGGUAGACACCAGAAUAGGCUGCAGUCUGACUAAAGUAUUGUAACCCACGCCCCAACCACUCAGGGAGGAGUUGAAUAUGAGUGCAAAUAACCAUAACACACAGGAAUUUCAGUUGACUGUGAGUUUAGUUAUCAACAACCUCAAAAAGAAAUUACAACGUUGGCCCUUUGCUAAAUAAACUCACUGAAAACUCAUUGCUCUUAAUUAUCUGAAUUAUCCAUUUAAAACAUAUUUGGUUAGGUUGCAGCCUUGCCCUUCCGUUUGCUCCACAGAUUUAUAAAGCGGAGAUGAUUGUCAAGUCAGAGAACAGAGAGGGUAACACUUUAUAACUUGACACGCAAAUAAAGCACAAGUACCCUGUACUUACUUAAGGAGACACAAAUUCUUCUGUAAAUAACUUUAAGUAUCGUAGCAGCCUAAGUAAUUACUAAGUAAUUAAGUAAUGCUUAAGUAAUAUUCUGCAUAAUGAAAGUCUGCCUAUUCAACUCUCUCUAUAUAUUACCUUUAAAAAUUAAUACAGUAAUAAUCACUUUCUUCUUCUUAUUGGAAAAUAUACAUUGAUACGAACAAUCAAACUUUGUAGACCAUAAGCAUAAUCUGACCAUAUAAUAAUGGAGACAAGGAGAGUUAUUUUCAUUAAACUGUAGUUAAAAAAGAAGAACAUGAAACAAUUCCAUAACCCUUAAAAAAAUAAGUUUUAACAAUACAUUACCAUAUUGUGGCGUGUUGGGGGAGCGGCUAGUUCUCUCCCAUCAUGCCUUGGGACUGCUGUUUGGAUGUUCUUGUUUUGUUGUUUAUGGUUACACUACUUUUAACUGUUAUCUUGAAUGUUGUGUUUGUACUGCAGUUCAAAGGCACUUACAGUGUUGUUUUAUAGAAUGAAUGCAACCAUGGGUGAGUUCUGUUAUGCUGUUGAUGACCCUCGAAGCAUAGUGUAGCAUCAGUGUGUGUUGUAAUAAAGAGCUCCCCCUACCAGCUUGGGGUUGAAUAACAAUCUCUCUCUGUGAGCUUCUUUGUAAAGAUUCCUCUGCAUGCCACAUUGGUGUCAGAAGUGGGAUUCCAAGAGCAUGGCCACUAUUCUGAAAGAGGAAGAGGAGCUGAGGAAGAUUGAGGAGCUUAUCACUCACCUGGAAGCAGUGAAUGGAGCACAAUUGAAGAAGCGGGGAGAGCCCCGGGCAGCAGCAAGCCAGCCAGGGGAAGAUCUGUGGGGCUUACCAGAUGGAGCCUCACACCCCCGCCCACUGGGGAGCUGUCGGAGCCGCCAAGGCAUGCUGCAGGCUCCAAGACCACGAGCGACCGGUCAGCCUCCACUCAUGGUGAUGCCUGGGAGCAGCACACCCUCAUCGUUGGCAGCCGAGGGGGACAACGCCAACUGUCUCCAGGACCAA
ensembl:lncRNA